rfam:Ornithorhynchus anatinus chromosome 7, whole genome shotgun sequence.
CACUUCUCAGGGUUGCCCCUGGAGAGUUUCCAGUACUCUACCAGGCUGGACUAAGGGAGGAAGAGUCAAGCAGAGCCAUACCCAUUCCAUUCCUAGCUUGGCCAGUGACUAGCGAGUGGAAGACAGUCUGCCUCAAGU